rnacentral:lncRNA from 1 species
AAAGUUGUUGAUAGCAUUACAUACUAUAUGAACGAAUGGAUUUUAGUUCGUUAUGUCUUUAAUAUAGUCGUAUACAUGACUUUCGAUGUCAGUUUUGGGUAACCGAAUCUAAUAUAGUCUCUAAACUAUUAACCGAGCUCCGGCUUGGUGACGAUUGAGCGGAGGAGGAAGAGAUUCCUCGAGGCCGCGUGGGGCCUGAUGACCCGCGAAACUAGUAAACCUAGUCCCAUUGGAUUUGUUCAGAGACCCAGGAGAUCUGAUGGCGGGGGGGGGGG